GUGGAGGUGGCGGAGUUGGUCACGCGGCCGCUCCCGCGGGCGGUGCCUCGCGGAGAACCACGGGUCCCUUCUCCGCGAGGCACCCCUUCGGGAGCGGCGACGGGGGUUCGAGUCCCUCCCUCCACG